CCUACGGGGGGCAGCAGUGAGGAAUAUUGGUCAAUGGACGAGAGUCUGAACCAGCCAAGUAGCGUGAAGGAUGACUGCCCUAUGGGUUGUAAACUUCUUUUAUAAAGGAAUAAAACGAGGCACGUGUGCCUUUUUGCAUGUACUUUAUGAAUAAGGAUCGGCUAACUCCGUGCCAGCAGCCGCGGUAAUACGGAGGAUCCGAGCGUUAUCCGGAUUUAUUGGGUUUAAAGGGAGCGUAGAUGGGUUGUUAAGUCAGUUGUGAAAGUUUGCGGCUCAACCGUAAAAUUGCAAUUGAUACUGGCAGUCGUGAGUACAGUUGAGGUAGGCGGAAUUCGUGGUGUAGCGGUGAAAUGCUUAGAUAUCACGAAGAACUCCGAUUGCGAAGGCAGCUUACUAAACUGCCACUGACAUUGAUGCUCGAAAGUGUGGGUAUCAAACAGGAUUAGAUACCCGUGUAGUC
rnacentral:rRNA from 1 species